rnacentral:lncRNA from 1 species
GCCCGUGCUGAAAUCAAGGAAAAUCAAGUGGAAACUCAGAGCCUAGCACGCCCGUGCCACAAGUCCUUAUCCAAGCGUGCCUCUAAGCACGGUCCGUGUUGAACUCCCCAUAGACUCAUAACUUGGCACACCCAGACCGUGCUUCGCAGAACGCCCGUGUUAAAUACCAAGUGCUGAUUUGAGUCAAAAUUUCCAACCAUUCCUUAUCAUUUCCAUGAGCUCACCUUGGAUACCUUCUUGACAUACAAAUCAAGUUCUAAUUUAUGCACAUGGAACAGUCACGAUUGAGAGAAAUUUAAUGCCUAAUGAGAACUUUAUUUCCUAAACAAGGUGGAUUUAUUCCCUAAACAAUGUAGAAGUUCUCUCCCAAGAAGUCAAUAUAAAGAGAGGAAGGAUGCAUUGUAAAAAAAUCUCAUACCAUCCCAUUCCAUCCCAUCUCAUAUCCCAUAUCUCAUAUAUCUCUCAUUCUCUUAGUCUUGUACAUACUUUUAUUUCUUCAAAGAUUUCAAGUAUUCUAGAGUUGUGCCAAGAUUCAAGGAAGCCAUCCGGAGUCAAUUGUUACCUAGUUCUUAUUUCUAAACUCUUAAUCUUGUUUAUUU